GUUGGCCCGAUGGCCCAUGAACAGAAACCUAAAUCUGAUGAAGCAAAAAGUCUGUGUGACGAUUCCAUUAGAGAGACUGAGAUGCAGAAGUCUGUGUGCCGAUUCCAUUGGUUGGGUUUCGAUCAGUCCUUUCGACUUCUGUCCAUCCAUCGAAACGAGAUAGCUUCUGGAUCCAUCGCAGUAAACAAGAUACUACGUUUCUCAAAACAAUGGAAUUCAACAUCAACAAAACUGUCACAGCAUGGGAAGAAAUGUUUAAUUGAAGAAUGAAUUUGGAACAGAUCGCAUUAUAAAGAUUUCAGGUUCAAAGAGUUGGUCAACAUCAUAAUGCACUAUCCUCAAGGGAAUCAUGGAAUUUAUAAAGAUGGAAGGCCUAUUUAUAUCAAGAGCCUAGGACAAGUCAUCCCGGUCGAUGUCCACACAUCAAAAGUGUCAAGGUUAGAUAUGUGGUUCCGAGUGGAGCUUUGGUUGGUAUCUACGAGGACCUUGAGCUCAGGGAUGGGGGAUCAAACUACCUUGGGAAGUGUGUCUCUAAAGUGAGAAACUACAUUGUCUGAUCCAAGAUCAAACUCAGCAGACUGAUAUUGACAACUUCGUGGUCUCUGGAGUGAUGGAACCCAAAACGAUCCGGGUUGGUGAAAUCAAAAGCUUGUAGCCAAUUGUAUCCUUGCUGUGUGCAAAGCUGGGGUCAUUGACUCAUUGUUUAUGGCAUUCUCUCUACAAAGCGAAGGUAGGAGAGCAAAAGGUAAAAAUAAAUUACAUGAUAGGGUAAUGUUCGGCACCAAAGAUGAGGGAAAAAGACAAACAAUAAAAAGAAUUAAUGAUUACAUUUUUUACGUUUUUUUGGUAAGAUAAUUUUGUAAAUUUUAACAAAAAAGAAAAUAGUAGAGUUGGUAUAACUAUAGUUAAAUUUCUGAUUUGUAAAUUUCUAUCUUUUGGCUUAUUGCAACAGUCAUUGUACUCUAAGGGAUGUGGUACAAUAGCAUGUUUAUACGUGUCUAUAUUCUGAGUCAUGAAAGCUUUGUAAACUACUUACUUGGCUCUACUUAAGAGCCAAAACCAAUGUCUGCUGACUCUUUCGAGGAUUACAAUCAAGAAGAAAAAUAAAGAUUAUGCAACAAUUACUUUUACGUGGCUCUCUCCGAGAAGUAACAGCAGAGGAAAGUGUCAAUGAGAAGAGAAAUACAAACAACAUGGAUGCAUUGAUGGUUCCAUAGAUUAUAUGAUUCUCUAUAUCUAUGUAAACUAAUUGGCCAUCCGAACAAUUUAACUAAGUUUUACUAAGAAAAUUUUAUAUGCUUUGUAAAGUUCUUUAUGAACUUAACCAAAAAAUAUAUUGGUUUAAAUUCCAUUAA